AAAAUGCGAUAAGUAAUGUGAAUUGCAGAAUUCAGUGAAUCAUCGAAUCUUUGAACGCACAUUGCGCCCGCCAGUAUUCUGGCGGGCAUGCCUGUUCGAGCGUCAUUUCAACCCUCAAGCCCCCCGGGUUUGGUGUUGGGGAUCGGGCUGCGGUUCUGCCGCGUCCCGGCCCCGAAAUCUAGUGGCGGUCUCGCUGCAGCCUCCAUUGCGUAGUAGCUAACACCUCGCAACUGGAACGCGGCGCGGCCAAGCCGUUAAACCCCCCAACUUCUGAAUGUUGACCUCGGAUCAGGUAGGAAUACCCGCUGAACUUAAGC
rnacentral:misc_RNA from 1 species